rnacentral:rRNA from 1 species
UACGAAGGGGGCUAGCGUUGCUCGGAAUCACUGGGCGUAAAGCGCACGUAGGCGGCUUUCUAAGUCAGAGGUGAAAUCCUGGAGCUCAACUCCAGAACUGCCUUUGAUACUGGAAAGCUUGAGUUCGGGAGAGGUGAGUGGAACUCCGAGUGUAGAGGUGAAAUUCGUAGAUAUUCGGAAGAACACCAGUGGCGAAGGCGGCUCACUGGUCCGGUACUGACGCUGAGGUGCGAAAGCGUGGGGAGCAAACAGG